rnacentral:tRNA from 1 species
GCCGGGGUGGCGGAACUGGCAGACGCACAGGACUUAAAAUCCUGCGGU